GCGGAAAGGCUUCGCCUGGACUCUUAUGGGAGUCAGGCUCCGUCCUCGACUCCGAUUGCUGGUAAACUUCAUUCGGACUCCUACGAGAGCCGGACUUCACCCCUGACUUUGAUUGCAGGUAGACUUCGCCCGGGCUCCUACGGGAGCCAGAUCUCGUCUCCAGCUCUAGCUGCGGGAAGACUCAGCCCGGACUCCUACAGGAGCCAGACCUCGUUCCCAACUCUGGCUGCACAAGGACUUCGCCCGGACUCCUACGGGAGCUAGGCUCCACCCACGACUUCACUUAUAGGUAAACUUCAUCCAGACUCCUAAGGGAGCCGGACUU
rnacentral:lncRNA from 1 species